rnacentral:lncRNA from 1 species
AAAGAGUUGAAUUUGCUACUUACCAAGAGAAGAAAAACAACACAAGAGUUUGGUGAAUGGGCAUGCUUUGGAUUCACACUGGAUCCUGGAAACAGAAUUGUCCCCUGUGGAUGUAGAAGUAUCAUGGUAACUCUCCUCAGGAACUCCAUAAUGAAGGAGGUUAUCAUCCAGGAGUUAUACCCUGCUUGUUUUUAAACCUGCAAAGGGAAGAUACUGUGAACAAAGCAGUGAAGGCUCUCAGGUUCCUCCCCAGGUGCCAGGAGAGGAGUGGGGCUGUUUUGGAUCACCUGAGCACAGGGCUGGAUGCAACUGGGUUCUCAACAUCUGAAAGGGAUGGCGAAAUAAAUUACACAGAUCCCUGUGCAAGUCUGAUCAAGCUCUCAAAGAACAGCCUUGCCAAAGAACUGCCUGCCUACCUAUGUCCUCAUUCCACGAUCCAGGUGACUUUUGUUCCACGGAGCCACACCUCAGCCUCUCACCUCACCGGGAGAGAAAACCUCCCAGACGUCUCAGUUUUGCAACCGAGCAGUUGUGCCCUUGUCGUGCUUCCAGCAUUUCCUCACAGCCCGCACUCAGAAACGAGGGCUGCGAGUCCCAGCCUCAGCAGGAACGUCUCCCCCAUCAUUAAAUAA